rnacentral:rRNA from 1 species
GUCGAACGGUGAAGCCCAGCUUGCUGGGUGGAUCAGUGGCGAACGGGUGAGUAACACGUGAGCAACCUGCCCCUGACUCUGGGAUAAGCGCUGGAAACGGCGUCUAAUACUGGAUAUGUGACGUGACCGCAUGGUCUGCGUUUGGAAAGAUUUUUCGGUUGGGGAUGGGCUCGCGGCCUAUCAGCUUGUUGGUGAGGUAAUGGCUCACCAAGGCGUCGACGGGUAGCCGGCCUGAGAGGGUGACCGGCCACACUGGGACUGAGACACGGCCCAGAYUCCUACGGGAGGCAGCAGUGGGGAAUAUUGCACAAUGGGCGCAAGCCUGAUGCAGCAACGCCGCGUGAGGGAUGACGGCCUUCGGGUUGUAAACCUCUUUUAGCAGGGAAGAAGCGAAAGUGACGGUACCUGCAGAAAAAGCGCCGGCUAACUACGUGCCAGCAGCCGCGGUAAUACGUAGGGCGCAAGCGUUAUCCGGAAUUAUUGGGCGUAAAGAGCUCGUAGGCGGUUUGUCGCGUCUGCUGUGAAAUCCCGAGGCUCAACCUCGGGCCUGCAGUGGGUACGGGCAGACUAGAGUGCGGUAGGGGAGAUUGGAAUUCCUGGUGUAGCGGUGGAAUGCGCAGAUAUCAGGAGGAACACCGAUGGCGAAGGCAGAUCUCUGGGCCGUAACUGACGCUGAGGAGCGAAAGGGUGGGGAGCAAACAGGCUUAGAUACCCUGGUAGUCCACCCCGUAAACGUUGGGAACUAGUUGUGGGGUCCAUUCCACGGAUUCCGUGACGCAGCUAACGCAUUAAGUUCCCCGCCUGGGGAGUACGGCCGCAAGGCUAAAACUCAAAGGAAUUGACGGGGACCCGCACAAGCGGCGGAGCAUGCGGAUUAAUUCGAUGCAACGCGAAGAACCUUACCAAGGCUUGACAUAUACGAGAACGGGCCAGAAAUGGUCAACUCUUUGGACACUCGUAAACAGGUGGUGCAUGGUUGUCGUCAGCUCGUGUCGUGAGAUGUUGGGUUAAGUCCCGCAACGAGCGCAACCCUCGUUCUAUGUUGCCAGCACGUAAUGGUGGGAACUCAUGGGAUACUGCCGGGGUCAACUCGRAGGAAGGKGGGGAUGACGUCAAAUCAUCAUGCCCCUUAUGUCUUGGGCUUCACGCAUGCUACAAUGGCCGGUACAAAGGGCUGCAAUACCGCGAGGUGGAGCGAAUCCCAAAAAGCCGGUCCCAGUUCGGAUUGAGGUCUGCAACUCGACCUCAUGAAGUCGGAGUCGCUAGUAAUCGCAGAUCAGCAACGCUGCGGUGAAUACGUUCCCGGGUCUUGUACACACCGCCCGUCAAGUCAUGAAAGUCGGUAACACCUGAAGCCGGUGGCCUAACCC